UACGUAGGGCGCAAGCGUUAUCCGGAUUUAUUGGGUUUAAAGGGUGCGUAGGCGGUUUAUUAAGUCAGGGGUGAAAGACGGCAGCUUAACUGUCGCAGUGCCUUUGAUACUGAUGAACUUGAAUGUACUAGAAGUAGGCGGAAUGUGACAAGUAGCGGUGAAAUGCAUAGAUAUGUCACAGAACAUCGAUUGCGAAGGCAGCUUACUAUGGUAUUAUUGACGCUGAGGCACGAAAGCGUGGGGAUCAAACAGG
rnacentral:rRNA from 1 species